rnacentral:rRNA from 1 species
GUACGGGAGGCAGCAGUGGGGAAUUUUGGGCAAUGGGCGAAAGCCUGACCCAGCAACGCCGCGUGAAGGAUGAAAUCCCUCGGGAUGUAAACUUCGCAAGAACGGGAAGAAUAAGCCGGUGUUAACACCAUCGGUGAUGACGGUACUGUUUGUAAGCUCCGGCUAACUCCGUGCCAGCAGCCGCGGUAAUACGGGGGGAGCAAUCGUUGUUCGGAUUUACUGGGCGUAAAGGGCGCGUAGGCGGCCACCGCAAGUCGACUGUGAAAUCUCUGGGCUUAACCCAGAACGGUCAGCCGAUACUGCGGGGCUAGAGUGCAGAAGGGGCAACUGGAAUUCUCGGUGUAGCGGUGAAAUGCGUAGAUAUCGAGAGGAACACCUGCGGCGAAGGCGGGUUGCUGGGCUGACACUGACGCUGAGGCGCGAAAGCUAGGGGAGCGAACGGGAUUAGAUACCCGCGU